rnacentral:rRNA from 1 species
GAUGAACGCUGGCGGCGUGCUUAACACAUGCAAGUCGAGCGAAGCACCUUGACGGAUUUCUUCGGAUUGAAGCCUUGGUGACUGAGCGGCGGACGGGUGAGUAACGCGUGGGUAACCUGCCUCAUACAGGGGGAUAACAGUUGGAAACGGCUGCUAAUACCGCAUAAGCGCACAGUACCGCAUGGUACCGUGUGAAAAACUCCGGUGGUAUGAGAUGGACCCGCGUCUGAUUAGCUAGUUGGUGGGGUAACGGCCUACCAAGGCGACGAUCGGUAGACGAACUGAGAGGGUGACCGGCCACAUUGGGACUGAAACACGGCCCAAACUCCUACGGGAGGCAGCAGUGGGGAAUAUUGCACAAUGGGGGAAACCCUGAUGCAGCGACGCCGCGUGAGCGAUGAAGUAUUUCGGUAUGUAAAGCUCUAUCAGCAGGGAAGAAAAUGACGGUACCUGACUAAGAAGCCCCGGCUAACUACGUGCCAGCAGCCGCCGUAACAC